GGGGUGGACUUUGAUGUCAGUAUGCUACAAAGGAUGUUGAAGAAAUUGGUUAUGAGAAGCGAUUAUCUUUGUGCCUCCAUGGCGAGCAGCACCGGCUGCAUCUGGCCCCAGCGCAUCUUUGAAAAUUUAGAAUGAUAAAAGGAAUUGGUCAAACUACAGAAAUUGUGACCCUGAUGAGCCGCUCCGGGCCUGACCACCGUUGGUUCAACGUUCUUCUCUGCCCGCGGAGUUUCCUGCCAUGCAUGCGUACGGUUGAGGUCUAGGAUGUUCAUCCACAUCUCGCUUAACUUGUUUUUUCUGACUGAAGUUAGGAAAAUUAUAUAGCUACCAUGAUAUAUUGCAUUUAGUUGCAUAAACCAGAGUUUAUGCAUUGUAUUGCUUGUGCCAACUUGUGCACACUGGCCUCAGAAGCAAGAUGCCAAUACCAUCAUGUUCCUUUCCUUCUUUGCUUGGAUAUAUGCUUGCUAGAAUAGUUGGCAAUACCACCCAAAAAUUCAGCUGCCAAUGUUUUGGUUCUCAGGGUCAAUUGAGUUACUCAUCUUGAAGUUGAGACAAACCUACAAGGCUACAGCGCGAUGAAAAAUAUGAGGUUGAUGAGAUAUCGAAUAUCUAAAACCGGCAUGAUGUAUCCUAGGGUCAAAGUC